UCCAAAGUAGUAUAUAUGCGGGUCAUAGUGUCAAAAUGAUUGACAGGUAUGAUUGAUGGGGUCAUUGACCUUUGCGGAGGGGGGUUGGUGGUGUUGAAUUACUUCCGGACCACCCACAUUGCGAGGGACUGUCCACUUUGCGUUGACCUUUGACCGUAUCCGCCCCUUAGUGUGGUGCCGCCCACGUCGCAUUGAACUUUUGACCGUGCCCUCACAUCCCAUUUUUCCGGGGCAUGUUUUAGGGCAUGUUUUAAGAUGUAUUGCUACAUAUCUUUAGCAUGAAUGAAAAUAUGUAAUUUAAAGGAGAUGAUGAAAUCAUUAUUAAUACGCAAUCAUUGGUUAUUUAAACAGCGUUUAAAAAUAAUAAUGAAUAAGACAACAACUACACAAACACUGUUUGCAUAAACAAACAGGUUUAAAUGAAUAAUCGUGUGAUUAAAUAAAUAAAUAAAGCAUCUAUUAAAUAAGUAAAGAAGUAAAUAAAUAAGUAAUUAUAUAAUGUAUUCAAUAUAUGAGAGAGGAAAGGCAGAGAGGCCAUGCAGAUUACCUAAUGUUUUUCAGAGUUUUCACACAUUCUAUAACAUUCCAGUGAGAGGUGUCCGCACCAAGGCUCGUAAAUUUGUUUUGAAAGGAGGAUUGUAACCGGGUGUAUUUCAACUUGUUUUCGACCUGUAGGUGACAGCGUCGGACGUUUUAAUCGGGUACGAUUUGUUUUACGUCCAUAGCGUGAAAUUUGAGCGCUACCAGCUCGGUUCAAGACAGCAAAGCUUUGUUUAGGAAUAUCAACUGUUCUCCACCUGGCAUCAGUAGAUCACAUGAAACAAUGCGUGACGAAUCGACCUGUGCAUUACAAGCAUUCUAUGGGACAAACUCUUCUUUAAUCUCGCUAUAUCUCUCUAACUAAUCAGAAAAACAACUCGUCACUAACAUUCUGAACAUAUCCGGGUUUAAAACGAAAUGCUAAAACAUAUACGCUUUAUUCGUCAUUAUCUGUUUUGUUUAAACACACAACUUGAAAGGAAUGCAUGAUCAAUAGCCCAUCUGUUCGUGUUACAUGCAUUUUCCAUAGAGCAAUGGCUCCAUCUUUUGCCUGUGCAAUGUCAUGACUUCAGGCAUUUCGCUACAGCCUAUAAAAACGAACUCCCUCAAGGAUUCUGGCUCUUUUCCAAAGCUUUUCUGACAUACAUAUAGUGUUUCCGAGAGAAUAUUAGCAAUGGAAGACUACCUGAGGUGCUUUUUUGUUAUCAUCAGUGCAGUUGAAUGAAUAAAUCAAUGAAUCAUUGAAUACUGACUAUUUAAAUUAUGAAUACGUGACUUGUGAUCUGUCAAAUGAGCAUGCCAUUCUUUUUAAAUAUCCGUAAUCUUUCCAAGAUGCUGUCGACACACUACAAGUGGUUUUAUUUUAUUUUAUUUUUUAAUAGAAUAUAAUGAUUAUAUCUGUGAUUCCGAUUUUUUUUCUGUUGUAUUGACGCAGAGUGAUGACGUACAAUUCAACGGACGGUUAGAAUGCGGUAGUUUUCAUUUAUGUGGAUCUAAAACGCCCUUAUUCUUUUGAUUAAAAUAUGUGCUUUAAAAUAGUAUUUGAUUUGUCUACGUAAGCGAUCAACCAGCCGUUUCAGGCAUCGUAUUAUAACAAAGUUCAAACAAUUACGAUCAAGACGAAUUUGUCAACAUUGAACAACUACUGAAUACGAGACAGGACACCGCUUCAAAUCAAGAUUUACAAGGGUCUAUAGAGCGACCGAUAUUUAUUGACCUGACACAUGACGAGGAGGCUGGCUCCAGCAGCGCUCGAUAGAUCUUACCGCGUCUGAAGAGGAGGUUGGCUCCAGCAGAGCGGUUCCGGACCCCUC